GACGAACGCUGGCGGCGUGCCUAAUACAUGCAAGUCGAGCGAAGUUUUUCUGGUGCUUGCACUAGAAAAACUUAGCGGCGAACGGGUGAGUAACACGUAAAGAACCUGCCCCAUAGACUGGGACAACUAUUGGAAACGAUAGCUAAUACCGGAUAACAGUAUUUCUCGCAUGAGAGAUAUUUAAAAGUUGGUUAUGCUAACACUAUGAGAUGGCUUUGCGGUGCAUUAGCUAGUUGGUGGGGUAAAGGCCCACCAAGGCGACGAUGCAUAGCCGACCUGAGAGGGUGAUCGGCCACACUGGGACUGAGACACGGCCCAGACUCCUACGGGAGGCAGCAGUAGGGAAUCUUCCGCAAUGGACGAAAGCCUGACGGAGCAACGCCGCGUGAGUGAAGAAGGAUUUCGGUUCGUAAAGCUCUGUUGUUAGGGAAGAAUGGAUAUGUAGUAACUAUACAUGUAAGAGACGGUACCUAACCAGAAAGCCACGGCUAACUACGUG
rnacentral:rRNA from 1 species